rnacentral:lncRNA from 10 species
GUGAGAUAAACAAACUGCUUUUCUUUAUGAAUUACCUAACCUCGGGUAUUCCUUUAUAGCAAUGCAAAAUAGACUAAGACACUAACUGACUUUUAAAAUCUUUUAUAUAUGGGGCACAAGGGAUGGUUGACUUUUGUGUGUAGAUGGUCUGCUGAGAAGCUGAGAUCCUAGAGAAUUUGGCAGGAAAGAAAUAUGGGUUGUACUUUAUUUGUGGCUGGCAAAAUUUUAUUUAGCUGCCUUUGAGAUGCCUCUGGAUCUUGUGAGGACUGCUUUGCACCUCUUUGGAGAUGUCUCACGCAUUCUUAUUUAAGUCAUAACCUUAGUUAAGGGGUUUUGGUUUUGGUGAGUUAUUUGAAAGAUAACUUCGGGGGGGAAGUUUGAAAGCCAAAAAUAUUGGCUGUUUGUCCCAGCUAAAAUUUCAUCAUGAGAGAUUUAAAAUUUUUUUUUUUUUUUUAAAAAAAGCUCUAUGGUCAGAAGUCAGCUUAAUUAAAAGCUGAUAUUCAGACUAUAAUACUUUUUUAAAAAAUAAAAGUUCCUUCUACUUUUUCUCUUUUGGAUUCUGCUAGUGGGAUUUACUUUUCAGUCAACUGAAACCCCCUUUUAAUUAUGUGAUUGGUUAUUCUGUUUCCUUUUUAUCUUUUUCACAUGAUUUUUGCUAAGAAAAAUGUAAAUCUUCAUUGGCCCUUCUGGAAAGCUUAAAAUAUCCAAAUUGGUACAUCUAAGACUUGUUAUUUCAUUUUCUUUCACUUCUACUCCUCCUUCUUUUUUGCCAUCUUCAAUUCCACAUAAAGAAAUCUAGACAGGACUUCUAGCAGCUCUAAGACCCCUUAAGGAACACAGAAAAAGUGCCACACACCCCCUUUUCGGGGUCAUAUAUUUUUCUCAUGGAUCCCCAAGAGUUGUGGACAGGUUCCUCUCAGUUCUAAGGCUCUGCUGUUUUGCAUUAAAUUCCGUGAUCUCUCUAACUUCUGGGGGUACCAGGAAUUACUUCGUACUGUGAGAGAAAACUUAAUCUUUGUGUGUGUGAUAGCUAGUGGGUCACCAGCAAAGGCUGCAAUUCUGGGGGGUGGCUGAGAGCAGUUACAAUGGAUGGUUAUUACUGUAUGGGGCUAUUCAUUUGUUUGUGCAUUUAGAUCAGAAAAGUGAGGUUUGGAAACUUGGAGGCUAUGGCUACAUCACAUCAUCAAGGGAUAAGACUCCCAUGGGGGAUGAACUGAUCACAGAGUGGGCUGAUUGACAUUGGGUUACCUUUGCCGUGAGGUGCCGUGAGGUACCCUGUGGAAGUGUUGCACAGCUUGGUCCUGUGGCAUUUCCUUUUUUUUUUUAAGGUCCCAGGAUUCACUGUAAAAAAUGAGGUUCUUGAUUUCUGAGGAUCUAGACGAUUUGCCUUCCUACUGCUUCUGCUUUUCACUAUAUAAGUGAAAAGACCUCAAAAGCUGCAAAUGUUUUGUUUGCGCUAUUCAUUAAUGGGCUCUACCCUGAGGUCAGUGGUCCAGUUUUAAAAUGGAGACUAAAUUAAAAGCCACCUAUCUAACUAAAAUUGGUCUCCUUAUAAAAUCCUCUGGUGAUUCUCAAUGAUUUUGUGUUACCUUAGUAUUCAUUUUAAUUUUCCUCUAACAUACCCAAAUUCUUUCUUCAAAAAGCUUAAAUUCUCUCUUUGUGCAUUGAGAUGUAAAUUUGCAACCCUGGUUUCUCUAAAACUCAAUAAGCACUUCAACCAUGCGGGACAAAUAAACUUUAUUUAAAAAUAUUUUUUAUUUUUUAUUCUUUUAGAGACAGGGUCUCACUCUGUCACCCAGGCUGGAGUGCAAUGUUAUGAUCCUAGCUCAGGGUCACCUCAAAUUCCUGGGCUGAAACUAUCCUCCCACCUCAGCUUCCCAAGUAGCUGGGACUCCAGGCACACACCGCCAUGCCUAACUAAUUUCUUUAUUUUUUAUGUUUUAGUAUAGACGGGGUCUUGCCUUGUUGCCCAGGCUAGUAUUGAACUCCUGGCUUCAAGUGAACCCCCUCCUGCGUGAGGCAUUGCACCCAGCCCAGACAAUCUUUAACUUGUUUCAUUUACAGAGGCACAAAUUAAUCUAACUGUCCUUUUAAACUAGUGAGUUUUAUCUGUCUCAUGACUAAAAUUUUAAAAUAAAAGCAAAUAUAGUUUACAUAUUUUCCCUACCCAAAUCUUAUGUUGAAUUGUAAUCCCGAAUGUUGGAAUUGGGGCCUGCUGGGUGGUGUUCGGGUCAUGGGGGUAGAUCUCUCAUGGCUUGAUGCUGUCCUCAGGAUAGUGACUGAGUUUUCCUGUAAUCUAGUUGGUUAAAGUGUGUGGCACCUCCCCCACUCUCUCUCUUGCUCCUGCUUUGCCAUGUGAAAUGCCUGCUCCCAUUUUGCUCUCUGCCAUGAGUAAAAGCUUCCUGAGGCCUCACGAGAGGCUGAGCAGAUGCCAGCACUAUGCUUCCUGUACAGCCUGCAGAAUCAUGAGCCAAUGAAAUCUCUUUUCUUUAUAAAUUACCCAGUCUCAAGUAUUUCGUUAUAAAACAGCCUAGCAAAAAAGCUAUAAAAUCUUUAUUUGUGUUUGUAUAUUAUGUAUAAAUGUGUAUAUGUCUGUGUUUGUAUAUUGUCUACAUGGUACUGAGUUGACUUAUAAAUAAAUGAGUACUCAUAAAUUAAAUAAUCUCAAAAUUUUUAAAUUCAUAUGACUUUAGUAACCUUUGAUAUAAAAAGCAGAUUUUUAAAUUGUUGGUAAAAUAAAAUAGAAAUGUCUUCAGAGUUUUAGACUUCUUUAUCUUAAUCUACUGGUCAAACAAAUGUAUGUUGUUUCUGCUAAAUGUUUUAAGGUCAAAAAACUUGUUUCUGUGAUAUUUUUGAUAAUUGCUUGAUUUGUCUUUAAGCAUAUGUCUUUGGUUUUGAGCCUUUAGAUUCCAGAGUCUAGACAGGUGGUCAUGGUGAGGCUUCCACAGCACCUAGACCACCAGCUGCAGGGUAGAGUCAAGCCCGAUACAUCCUCCCUGGCCCAGCUCUGCCUCCUGGCCAUGCUGGAAGGGGAUAGAUCCUCCAUUAACUGUCUUCGCAGCUCUGUCAUUUGUCCUGGGCUUUGCAUUUGAUACAUAACAAUUAAAAUUGCUUUACUUCCUAGCUUUCUCACUCGAAAUUGGGGUUACUAGAGUUAAAAUUGUAGAUAAUAUAUGUAAUUAAAACUACUAGAUAUAAGAGAAAUAAUUCUAUAUAAAGAGUGUACAAAGAAUGUAGGAUGUGUUUUGGGUGAGGAAGGUUAUAAGAAAAACAUGAAGCCAUAUGCUGUGGCUCAUGCCUGUAAUCCCAGCACUUUGGGAGGCUGAGGCAGGAGGACUGCUUGAGCCCAGGAGUUCACGACUAGCCUGGGCAACAUAGGGAGACCCCAUUUCUACACACACACAACUUGAGAAUGUGGUUUUUGUUAAAGGAAAAGUAUUUUUUUUCUAGUUUAGAGGUUAUUUGAAGGCUCCUUUAAGUUGAAAGGAUAAAAAAGAAUGACAGGAAAAACUGAAUGGAUAUAAAAAAUUGGGGAAAGAAAGAGAAUUGAAAAAAUUGUGAGAGAUUAUAAAAUGUUCAUGCAAAUCUUUUCUGUAGUCAAAGCUGAUUGAGAUUAGAUGGAUUUGUUUAUAUUUUAUUAAAUUAACUUUAGUGUUAAUAAUACACUGAUGAAAAGUACAAUUUGGUUUUCUCUUUUGAACAAGAUUUUCAUGUAGUACUAAUAAGAAAUGGUAAAAUAUUUGUUCACCUUUUCAGUAAAAAAGGAAGAAGACUUUGCCUCAUGCUGUCUUUAUUAGGUCUUUUGAUUGUUUGGAAAACUUGAUCUCCUCUCUAUCAAAUAGUAAAGGGUUUUUUUUCACUUUUUGAAAUCUUUUAAUUAUCAUUUUGACUAAAUGAAUGACUAAUAUUUUAUAGUGACUUGUGAUCUUAUUUUGAUAUCAAGUGUUUUAAACCUUUAAUAUUUGACAAACAUCCCAAAAUCAAAUUUCAAAUUCUAAAUUAAGUGUUUUUUAAGCUUGAACUAAAUAUUUGGACAUUCCAAAAAGAGCCCCUGGAAGUCCAAGAGAGACAUAUUAGGCUUAUUUGGUAUGUUAAAAUUAUAUGGGAAGCAUUGUCAAAUAAAAAGUGAUGUCUAACUUUCUUUGAGUUAUAUUCAUAUGGAUAUGUUAUUAAUGUAUUCCAAAAUUGUAUGAGAUUCCUAAAAUAUUAUAUAUCUUGGUAUAUUCAGUAAAUUGCUUAAUUCUGAUGCUCUUUUUCUAAAAGCUCUCUGUUCAUUCUAAAGUGAUGUGUCUUCAAGGAAGUUCAUGGGAAAGACUGAUAGGUAAUCUGAAAUACAGUCCUCUGCUUAUGACUUUGAGAUUACACAAUUGGACUGGGGGGUAGAAAGUUAAAAAGAAAACUCUAAUGAAAAAUUAGACAUAAAAUUGGAAAAUUGCUAACCUAACAUCAAGUAGAACAAGAACAUGAGACUAAAGUGAUGAAGGGCUGAAAUGAUUUUUCAUGACUUUUUGCUUAAACAUGGAUGAUUCUUUUUCUGUUUUGUUUUCUAGAAUCAAGAAACCUUUUUCCCUCUGAAGCUAUUCAUAGCUUAGAGUAAUUGGGUGAAAUAUAGUUUUGUAAGAAAAUGGAAACAUUUACCUCAUAGGAAUGUUUUCUUCUUUAACAGGACACAAUUGAAAACACUGGUUAUAUUACAAAAGCUUUGACUGGUAAUUUUGUGUCAUAUUUUCAAAUGUGACCAGGCUGCUUUGAGGAAUUGCAGUUUACUUUAAAGCCAACAGACUUGGAAAAAGACUGGCCGGGUACCAUAUCUACACUGUUCCCUUACAGGGUUCCUGACCUUGUGCUAAUCACCAUAGACUAAUGCAGACCUCCUUAUGAAACAGGCGUUUCUACCUCCAAGGGAAAAAGAUAACAAAUCUUUGGCUGACCAACUGAUGUUUAUCAGCAAUGCUUCCUCACAUCAAAUCUUUAUCAAAAUGAAGAAAUGUGAAAUGUGAUAUACAAAACAGUAUCACUUGGUUCAGAGCUCUAAAAUGGAGUCAAGAAGCCACUCUAUUACUACCUACACAACAUGAAACCCUGCAGGAAAAAAAAAAAGGAACAGGAACUUGCCUUGAACCUUUGAACUGGGCUAAACUACAAUGACCACAUCUUAGAAAGCAGCUGAAUUUCACCAGCACUGCAACUCCUGCAUAGCAACAACCAAUGUACCAUGGACUUAUGUACUAAGCCAGCCACCUCCACCAAUGAUAAUUCUUUCAAAACAACUUGUGCAAUCACUCUCGGCAUCCUUUGAAAAAUUCCUACUCUCCUUCCUGUCUUUGGAAAACAAUUUGGCUCUUAGCCAAAUCCGUGUCUCCCAAAUUGCAACUUUUAAGGCCUCAAAUGCCUAGUCUUACUGCAUUGCACUCUGGUGUUUUGCCCCUUCUUACUUGACAUAUUAUACUUACAUCUCCAUUUCUAGUUGUGUUGAUUUUUUUAUUUUUUUAUUUUUAUUUUUAUUUUUGGAUAGUGUCUCACUCUGUCACCCAGGCUGGAGUACAGUGAUGCUGUCAGGGCUCACUGCAGUCUUGACCACCUGGGUUCAAGUGAUCCUCCCGCCUCAGCCUCCCAUGUAGCUGGGACUACAGGCAUGCACCACCAUGCCUGGCUAGUUUUCUUACUUUUGGUAGACACAUGGUUUCACCAUGUUGCCCAGGCUGGUCACAAACUUCUGGGUUCAAGUGAUCCACCUGCCUUGGCCUCCCGAAGUGCUUGUAUUACAGGUGUAAGCCACUGUGCCUGGCCUUGUAUCAACUUUUUGAUAGUAUCUCUUGACAGAAUGUAAAUGUGAGUAAUACAGACUCAGCAUGGUAGAGAAAUGAUAUAUGAAGGAGUGGUAUUACAGAGACAGGAUAGAUUAUUCGAUAAAUUCGGCUCUGGGACAAUUGGAUAUCAAACCAUAUGCCCUAUUCAAAAAUCAGUUGUUGGUGGAUCAAAAUUUUAUUUUAAAACUUUAUUUUUUAAAUAAAUUUUUGUUUUAUUUUAUCAUAUAUAUGUGUGUGUGUGUAUAUAUAUAAGCAUCUGCAUGGAAUUUUUCCCAUCUUUUUAAGUGUUUGAGGGUACACAGUAGAUAUAUAUAUAUUUAUGGGGUACAUAAAAUAUUUUCUACAGGCAUGCGAUGCAAAAUAGUCACAUCAGAGUGAAUGGGGUAGCCAUCCCCCCAGGCACUUAUUCUUUGUAUUAUAAACAAUCCAAUUGUACUCUUUUAGUUAUUUUGAAAUAUAGAACUUAAUUAUUUUUGACUACAGUCACCCUGUAGUGGUAGCAAAAUACUAAGUCUUAUUCAUUCUUUCAAACUAUUUUUGUACCUUUUAACCAUGCCCAACUCCCGCCUGCCCAGGACCCCACUACCCUUUGCAGCCUCUGGUAGCCAUCCUUCUACUCUCUAUGUCCAUAAGUUCACCUGUUUUGAUUUUUAGUUCCCACAAAUAAGUGAGAACAUGCAAAAUUUUUCUUUCUCUGCCUGCCUUAUUUCACUUAACAUCAUGACCUCAAGUUCCAUCCAUGUUGUUGCCAAUUACAGGAUCUCAUUCCUUUUUUAUGGCUGCACAGUACUCCAUUGCUUAUAUGUGCCAUAUUUUCUUUAUCCAUUUAUCUGUUGAUGGAGACUUAGGUUGCUUCCAAAGCUUGACUGUUAUGAAUAGUGCUGCAAUAAACAUGGAGUGCAGAUAUAACCUUGAUACACUGAUUUCCAUUCUUUUGUGUAUAUACCCAGGGGUGGGUGUAUAUACCCAGAGUGAAAUUCCGUCUCGGAAAAAAAAAAAAAAAAAAAAAAAAAGAGUUCUUUUGUGACCUAAAUAUGGUCUAUCCUUGAGAAAAUCUAUGUGCUGAGGAAAGAUGGUGUAUUUUACAGAUGUU